GUGGGGAAUAUUGGACAAUGGGGGGAACCCUGAUCCAGCCAUGCCGCGUGUGUGAAGAAGGCCUUUUGGUUGUAAAGCACUUUAAGCGAGGAGGAGGCUACCGAGAUUAAUACUCUUGGAUAGUGGACGUUACUCGCAGAAUAAGCACCGGCUAACUCUGUGCCAGCAGCCGCGGGAAUACAGAGGGUGCAAGCGUUAAUCGGAUUUACUGGGCGUAAAGCGCGCGUAGGUGGCCAAUUAAGUCAAAUGUGAAAUCCACGAGCUUAACUUGGGAAUUGCAUUCGAUACUGGUUGGCUAGAGUAUGGGAGAGGAUGGUAGAAUUCCAGGUGUAGCGGUGAAAUGCGUAGAGAUCUGGAGGAAUACCGAUGGCGAAGGCAGCCAUCUGGCCUAAUACUGACACUGAGGUGCGAAAGCAUGGGGAGCAAACAGGAUUAGAUACCCGUGUAGUCC
rnacentral:rRNA from 1 species